rnacentral:lncRNA from 1 species
GCUGAGCACAAUGUAGGCGCUCUAAGACUAAUGAAAGAAUCAAAUCAGGUGUGUGAGUGAUUCAGCAAGAAGUUGAAUUAGAGCCAGCUGCUUCGUCUGAGUUGGGUUAAGUCAGAGGGGGAGGGUUGAUAUUGGGUAAUCAGAACAAAACGAGCUGGAGGGCCAGCCACCUGCUUAGUCGGAGUAAGAAUGCCUGCAGAGACCUGGACCAGAGUGGGCAGAAUGGAGUCACCAUGAAUAUAUGCACCAAGGGAAUGAACACACAAAUUAAAAGGCUGGAGUAUAGUGGUGCGAUCAUAGCUAGCUGCAGCCUUGAACUCCUCCUCAAGCAAUCCUUCCUCCUUGGCCUCGCAAAGUCCUGGGAUUACAGGCGUGAGCUACUGGGCCUGACCUACAAAAUGUUUUAUGCUUUCGCCUAUUAUAGGAGACAUAUUGCUCACCCUUCACGAGAGGUCAAACACCUGAGUUAAAUUUUGGAAAGCUUCUAUAUACCUAUCAGGAUCUUCAGAAAAUCAGACUAAGCCUCCUUUUAUUUGCCUAAGGACCUGCAAUGAGAAGGGAACUUGAACCCUAGUGGCAUCACCUCCAUUGGGAAUUUCCUAUAGGGGGCCUAAAUAGUGUUCCUUGGAGAGAAAAUUACCCUGGGAAUGAAUAAACAAGAGCAAUGCAAAUGUUUCUUUUACAUUAGAUUCUUGCAGCCCUGGAAAUCCUAAAUAAUAAUCAUGGCAAUACUACAUUUAUAAGACUAAAAGAUAGGAACUCAAGAAAAAUUUGGUCAUAGCAGUUGGUGAAAAAGUGAAUUUAAGAGAAGUGACAAAAAGAACUACUUGGGAUAUCCACGACUGUUACAGAUGCUUCGUGGAGGUUCAAAAAGACUACAGAUCAAGGCCAGUGACCUUCUACACAUGGUGGACACUCCAGCCUCUGCUCAAUCUCCAUCCACACUUAAAGGAAAUAGCCAACUCUUGGCCAACCUUCAGGCCUGGGAAGAGGCUCAAGCAGACACUGAAGACGGACUUAAGGCUAUACGAUGUCCGGAAGUGGUGGGUUCUUGGUCUCACUGACUUCAAAAAUGAAGACGAAGACGUGGACUCUGGCGUGAACCCAGGAUGAAGGAGUGUUUCGACUCAUCUGACUCAUUAUGCCUUCUUUGCCCUGGAUCUUACACAGAAAUGCUCUCCAUACCUUGCCACUGCUGCUGGGAAGGAACAGGGGAGGAGUGACAUUGAGAUUCAAGACUAUUUUUCCUACCUCUUCAGUGCCUCUUUCAGCCAUAUGAAGUUAAAACCAGGUAAUGUGAGUGCUGAUCUGAUUUCUGAUUCAUUUGAAGGUGCUUUUUCUAUGUGUAGAUAGUUGUUAAAUUGAUAUCUUUGGGGGGUGACAAGCAGUAAAGCCUUCUAUUCUGCCAUCUGGCUCUACUCCUGUCUCUCAAUAAUUGCUUAUGGAUUAGGAGCUGAGGCACAGCUUUGGUGGAUCAUUUCCUCAAAAUCUUAAACAGUUAUAAUUAAGCUGUUGGUGAGAAUUGUAGGGUCAUGUAAGGCUCAGCAUCCUCUCCCACACUCAUAGGGGGUCCUAUUAGUAGAAUUCAGCUUCUUGCAGCUGUAGGACUGAGACCCUCAGUCUCCAGAGGCUGCCCCUCUGCACAGGCAGUUCACAACAUGGCUGUUUGCUUUCAUCCUUGAACCCUGCAGGAAAGUAAUCUUUCAGUCUCUUUUAAGGGACUCCCCAGAUUAGGUCAAACCAAUGCAAAAUAAUCUGUGGUUGAAUAACUAAAAGCCAACUAAUAUGGACCUUUAUUGAAUCUCCAAAAUUUCUUCACCUUUGCAAUGUAACUUAAUCACAAGAGAGAAACACAUCAUUUUCACAGGUCUCACCCGCACUUAAUUAUGGGAGGGGAUUAUAUAUAAGGUGUAUGCCAUGGGUUAUUUUGGGACCAGCUUAGAAUUCUGUGCACAGACUGUUUUGCCAUAUACCAAAAGAUUAGCCCAGAGUCAUUUAAAUUUUUUGGGGGGUGGAUAGGGGGAAUAUCGGUGAUGGAAAGAAC